CGUAGGUGGCGAGCGUUGUCCGGAAUUACUGGGUGUAAAGGGCGUGUAGGCGGGACUGUAAGUCAGAUGUGAAAUUCCAAGGCUUAACCUUGGCGCUGCAUCUGAAACUAUAGUUCUUGAGUGCUGGAGAGGAAAGCGGAAUUCCUAGUGUAGCGGUGAAAUGCGUAGAUAUUAGGAGGAACACCAGUGGCGAAGGCGGCUUUCUGGACAGUAACUGACGCUGAGGCGCGAAAGCGUGGGGAGCAAACAGGAUUAGAUACCCUGGUAGUCCACGCUGUAAACGAUGGAUACUAGGUGUAGGAGGUAUCGACCCCUUCUGUGCCGGAGUUAACACAAUAAGUAUCCCACCUGGGGAGUACGGCCGCAAGGUUG
rnacentral:rRNA from 1 species